AAGUGAGUAAAAAACGAAAAAUCCUCGAUUUGACGAAACACCCAAGAGGUUGUUCUGUCGAGGGUGUUUCGUUUCAAGUAAUAGAUAUUGAAACGUUCGUUCCUAAUAAUUCUUUGAGUCCGCGAUAGAGAGAGGAGAGAAGAGAGAACCCAGCUCGCCCCCUUCUGAAAUCUUCAGAGCAGGUAUUGGGAACAAAUUUAGGGGGUUUUUUGGACCACCUAUGACUGACUGAUUCCAGAGAUAGAGAUCGAUAAACUUCAAUGUUUUGAGGAGAGAAUAUAUUUUGGAACAAUCAUUCCCGAUAAUUCCAGAGUCCACGCAUAGAGAGAGGAGAGAAGAGGGAAGAGGAGCUCGGCCCCAUGUGAAAUCUCUAGUGCAGGCUGAUAACCGUGGAUGUGGUAUGUUUGUAUGGUUGAAAGAUGAAACACAUAUCUCUAUCAUACAACAUAAAUUAUACUCAGAAAGCUCAAGCUCAACAUCAACAUCAUCCACACCACCGUCCGUUUCGAAUGAGUACAUGAAAGGAUAUCUGGAAGGGACACUUAAAGGA